GACGAACGCUGGCGGCGUGCUUAACACAUGCAAGUCGAACGGUGAAGCGCCUUCCUUUUUGGUGGGUGUGGAUGAGUGGCGAACGGGUGAGUAACACGUGAGUAACCUGCCCCCUUCUUCUGGAUAACCGCAUGAAAGUGUGGCUAAUACGGGAUAUUCCGGGUCUGUCGCAUGAUGGGUCUGGGAAAGAUAUUGUUUCGGUGGGGGAUGGGCUCGCGGCCUAUCAGCUUGUUGGUGGGGUGAUGGCCUACCAAGGCGGUGACGGGUAGCCGGCCUGAGAGGGUGGGCGGUCACACUGGGACUGAGACACGGCCCAGACUCCUACGGGAGGCAGCAGUGGGGAAUAGUGCACGGUGGGCGCAAGCCUGAUGCAGCGACGCCGCGUGAGGGAUGGAGGCCUGCGGGUUGUGAACCUCUUUCGCCAGUGAAGCAGGCCUGCCUCGUUUGUGGGUGGGUUGACGGUAGCUGGAUAAGAAGCGCCGGCUAACUACGUG
rnacentral:rRNA from 1 species